rnacentral:rRNA from 1 species
GACGUAGGGCGCGAGCGUUGUCCGGAUUUAUUGGGCGUAAAGCGCGCGUAGGCGGCUACUUAAGUCGGAUGUGAAAGCCCCUGGCUCAACUGGGGAAGUGCACCCGAAACUGAGCAGCUAGAGUACGAAAGAGGGUCGCGGAAUUCCGGUGUAGAGGUGAAAUUCGUAGAUAUCGGGAGGAACACCGGUGGCGAAGGCGGCGACCUGGGU